rnacentral:rRNA from 1 species
AUAUCAAUAAGCGGAGGAAAAGAAACCAACAGGGAUUGCCCUAGUAACGGCGAGUGAAGCGGCAACAGCUCAAAUUUGAAAUCUGGCCCCAGGCCCGAGUUGUAAUUUGCAGAGGAUGCUUUUGGCAAAGCGCAUACCGAGUCCCCUGGAACGGGGCGCCACAGAGGGUGAGAGCCCCGUAUGGUACGACGCCGAGCCUCUGUAAAGCUCCUUCGACGAGUCGAGUAGUUUGGGAAUGCUGCUCUAAAUGGGAGGUAAAUUUCUUCUAAAGCUAAAUACCGGCCAGAGACCGAUAGCGCACAAGUAGAGUGAUCGAAAGAUGAAAAGCACUUUGAAAAGAGGGUUAAAUAGCACGUGAAAUUGUUGAAAGGGAAGCGCUCGUGACCAGACUUGCGCCGGGCGGAUCAUCCAGCGUUCUCGCUGGUGCACUCCGCCCGGCUCAGGCCAGCAUCGGUUUUCGCCGGGGGACAAAAGCUUCGGGAACGUGGCUCCCUUCGGGGAGUGUUAUAGCCCGUCGUUUAAUACCCCGGCGGGGACCGAGGACCGCGCUUCGGCAAGGAUGCUGGCGUAAUGGUCAUCAGCGACCCGUCUUGAAACACGGACCGAGGAGUCAAGCAUUAGUGCGAGUGUUUGGGUGUAAAACCCGCACGCGUAAUGAAAGUGAACGUAGGUGAGAGCUUCGGCGCAUCAUCGACCGAUCCUGAUGUUUUCGGAUGGAUUUGAGUAGGAGCAUUAACGCUUGGACCCGAAAGAUGGUGAACUAUACUUGAAUAGGGUGAAGCCAGAGGAAACUCUGGUGGAGGCUCGCAGCGGUUCUGACGUGCAAAUCGAUCGUCAAAUUUGAGUAUAGGGCGAAAGACU